UGGGCGAUUUUUUUUCCCAUCCAUGACUGC
rnacentral:piRNA from 1 species